UACAGAGGUCCCAAGCGUUGUUCGGAUUCACUGGGCGUAAAGGGUGCGUAGGCGGUCGGGUAAGUCUGACGUGAAAUCUGCAAGCUCAACUUGGAAAUGGCGUCGGAUACUAUUCGGCUCGAGGAAUGGAGGGGAGACUGGAAUUCUCGGUGUAGCAGUGAAAUGCGUAGAUAUCGAGAGGAACACCAGUGGCGAAGGCGGCUCACUGGCCCGAUACUGACGCUGAGGCACGAAAGCGUGGGGAGCAAACAGG
rnacentral:rRNA from 1 species